GACGAACGCUGGCGGCGUGCUUAACACAUGCAAGUCGAACGGAAAGGCCCUGCUUUUGUGGGGUGCUCGAGUGGCGAACGGGUGAGUAACACGUGAGUAACCUGCCCUUGACUUUGGGAUAACUUCAGGAAACUGGGGCUAAUACCGGAUAGGAGCUCCUGCUGCAUGGUGGGGGUUGGAAAGUUUCGGCGGUUGGGGAUGGACUCGCGGCUUAUCAGCUUGUUGGUGGGGUAGUGGCUUACCAAGGCUUUGACGGGUAGCCGGCCUGAGAGGGUGACCGGCCACAUUGGGACUGAGAUACGGCCCAGACUCCGACGGGAGGCAGCAGUGGGGAAUAUUGCACAAUGGGCGGAAGCCUGAUGCAGCAACGCCGCGUGCGGGAUGACGGCCUUCGGGUUGUAAACCGCUUGCGCCUGUGACGAAGCGUGAGUGACGGUAAUGGGUAAAGAAGCACCGGCUAACUACGUG
rnacentral:rRNA from 1 species